rnacentral:misc_RNA from 1 species
GUAUAAUUUAUCGUAGGCAAUGAAGCCUUUGAAGUACAUUCUAGGUUUGUUUAAAGGUUUGUAAUACAUAGACUCGGAAAGCAGAGAGAGCAGGCUUUCGCACUGCAGCUCCCCAAACCGACUUCAAAAGAAGUCGAGAGGUAUCCAAGUCUACAGAGGUGCACAGGUGGAAAAAUGGUUUCAACAAAGUGUGCACAUGCUCCUAAGAGCCAGCAGCAACUUUGAAGAGAAUUCAAUAAUGAUCCUUCCGCAGGUUCACCUACGGAAA